rnacentral:rRNA from 1 species
CCCUUAGAUGUUCUGGGCUGCACGCGCGCUACACUGACACACUCAGCGAGUCUCCUGGUCCGAGAGGAUUGGGUAAUCAUGUGAGCGUGUGUCGUGAUGGGGAUAGAAUAUUGUAAUUAUUACUCUUCAACGAGGAAUUCCUAGUAAGCGCGAGUCAGCAGUUCGCGCUGAUUACGUCCCUGCCCUUUGUACACACCGCCCGUCGCUCCUACCAAUGGGUGAUCCGGUGAAUGACUCGGACUCUGGAAUUAGCUAUUUAUAGCUUUUAUCCGGAGGAAGUUUUGUGAACCUUAUCACUUGGAGGAAGGAGAAGUCGUAACA